AUUGAACGCUGGCGGCAGGCUUAACACAUGCAAGUCGAACGAGUGGCGGACGGGUGAGUAAUGUUUGGGAAUCUGGCUUAUGGAGGGGGAUAACUACGGGAAACUGUAGCUAAUACCGCGUACCAUAGGAUGAGCCCAAGUGGGAUUAGGUGGUUGGUGAGGUAAAGGCUCACCAAGGCGACGAUCCCUAGCUGGUCUGAGAGGAUGAACAGCCACACUGGGACUGAGACACGGCCCAGACUCCUACGGGAGGCAGCAGUGGGGAAUAUUGCGCAAUGGGGGCAAGCCUGAUGCAGCCAUGCCGCGUGUAUGAAGAAGGCCUUCGGGUUGUAAAGUACUUUCAGUCGGGAGGCGUUACCGACAGAAGAAGCACCGGCUAACUCCGUGCCAGCCGCCGCGGUAAUAC
rnacentral:rRNA from 1 species